GUAGGUGAACCUGCGGAAGGAUCAUUAAAAAUGAAGCCGGGAAACCGGUCCUUCUAACCCUUGAUUAUCUCAAUUUGUUGCUUUGGUGGGCCGCGCAAGCACCGGCUUUGGCUGGAUCGUGCCCGCCAGAGGACCACAACUCUGUAUUAAAUGUCGUCUGAGUACUAUAAAAUAGUUAAAACUUUCAACAACGGAUCUCUUGGUUCUG
rnacentral:misc_RNA from 1 species